rnacentral:rRNA from 1 species
GGGCCCGCACAAGCAGUGGAGCAUGUGGUUUAAUUCGAUGCAACGCGAAGAACCUUACCAGGCCUUGACAUCCUCGGAACUUUCUAGAGAUGAGAAUGUGCCUUCGGGAACGCUAUGACAGGUGUUGCAUGGCUGUCGUCAGCUCGUGUCGUGAGAUGUAUGGUUAAGUCCAGUAACGAGCGCAACCCCCUAUCCUUAUUUGCCAGCGCGUUAAGGCGGGAACUAUAGGGAGACUGCCGGGUGAAACCCGGAGGAAGGCGGGGACGAGGUCAAGUCAUCAUGGCCCUUAUGGGUUGGGCUACACACGUGCUACAAUGGGAAGUACAGAGGGAUGCGAAAGCGCGAGCUGGAGCCAAACCCUUAAAACUUUUCUAAUCCGGAUUGGAGUCUGCAACUCGACUCCAUG